rfam:Myxococcus stipitatus DSM 14675, complete genome.
GGGGACGUAGCGCGUUAGGGAAGACGCACGGGCCUGUAGAGCCCGAGCCCGACAGGGCCCGCUGGGUUCAACUCCCAGCGUCCCCA